UAACACAUGCAAGUCGAACGCUCUCUUCGGAGAGAGUGGCAGACGGGUGAGUAACGCGUGGGAACCUACCCAAGGGUUCGGAAUAACUCAGGGAAACUUGAGCUAAUACCGAAUACGCCUUGCGAGGGAAAGAUUUAUCGCCCUUGGACGGGCCCGCGUCGGAUUAGCUUGUUGGUGGGGUAAAAGCCUACCAAGGCGACGAUCCGUAGCUGGUCUGAGAGGAUGAUCAGCCACACUGGGACUGAGACACGGCCCAGACUCCUACGGGAGGCAGCAGUGGGGAAUCUUGCACAAUGGGCGCAAGCCUGAUGCAGCCAUGCCGCGUGAGUGAAGAAGGCCCUAGGGUUGUAAAACUCUUUCAGCGGGGAAGAUAAUGACGGUACCCGCAGAAGAAGCCCCGGCUAACUCCGUGCCAGCAGCCGCGGUAAUACGGAGGGGGCUAGCGUUGUUCGGAAUCACUGGGCGUAAAGCGCGCGUAGGCGGGUCAGUCAGUCAGGGGUGAAAUCCCGAGGCUCAACCUCGGAACUGCCUUUGAUACUGCUGACCUAGAGGUCGAGAGAGGUGAGUGGAAUUCCUAGUGUAGAGGUGAAAUUCGUAGAUAUUAGGAAGAACACCAGUGGCGAAGGCGGCUCACUGGCUCGAUUCUGACGCUGAGGUG
rnacentral:rRNA from 1 species